ACUUCGUGCCAGCAGCCGCGGUAAUACGAAGGGACCUAGCGUAGUUCGGAAUUACUGGGCUUAAAGAGUUCGUAGGUGGUUAAAAAAGUUGGUGGUGAAAUCCCAGAGCUUAACUCUGGAACUGCCAUCAAAACUUUUUAGCUAGAGUAUGAUAGAGGAAAGCAGAAUUUCUAGUGUAGAGGUGAAAUUCGUAGAUAUUAGAAAGAAUACCAAUUGCGAAGGCAGCUUUCUGGAUCAUUACUGACACUGAGGAACGAAAGCAUGGGUAGCGAAGAGGAUUAGAUACCCUCGUAGUCCAUGCCGUAAACGAUGUGUGUUAGACGUUGGAAAUUUAUUUUCAGUGUCGCAGCGAAAGCAUUAAACACACCGCCUGGGGAGUACGACCGCAAGGUUAAAACUCAAAUGAAUUGACGGGGACCCGCACAAGUAGUGGAGCAUGUGGUUUAAUUCGAAGAUACGCGCAGAACCUUACCAACACUUGACAUGUUCGUCGCGACUUUAAGAGAUUAAAGUUUUCGGUUCGGCCGGACGAAACACAGGUGCUGCAUGGCUGUCGUCAGCUCGUGUCGUGAGAUGUUGGGUUAAGUCCCGCAACGAGCGCAACCCUCACUUUUAGUUGCCAUCAUUUAGUUGGGCACUCUGAAAGAACUGCCAGUGAUAAGCUGGAGGAAGGUGGGGAUGACGUCAAGUCCUCAUGGCCCUUACGUGUUGGGCUACACACGUGCUACAAUGGCAUUUACAAUAGGAAGCAAGAUGGCGACGUCAAGCAAAUCCUAAAAAGAUGCCUCAGUUCGGAUUGUACUCUGCAACUCGAGUACAUGAAGCUGGAAUUACUAGUAAUCGCGGAUCAGCGCGC
rnacentral:rRNA from 1 species